AUGGCUCAGGAUGAACGCUAGCUACAGGCUUAACACAUGCAAGUCGAGGGGCAUCAGGGAGAAAGCUUGCUUCUUGCUGGCGACCGGCGCACGGGUGAGUAACGCGUAUCCAACCUUCCCCUUAGUAGGGCAUAGCCCGGCGAAAGUCGGAUUAAUACCCUAUGUUAUCCGAAGAGGACAUCUGAAUUGGAUUAAGGAUUUAUCGCUAAGGGAUGGGGAUGCGUCUGAUUAGGUAGUAGGCGGGGUAACGGCCCACCUAGCCGACGAUCAGUAGGGGUUCUGAGAGGAAGGUCCCCCACAUUGGUACUGAGACACGGACCAAACUCCUACGGGAGGCAGCAGUGAGGAAUAUUGGUCAAUGGGCGCGAGCCUGAACCAGCCAAGUAGCGUGCAAGGAUGACGGCCCUAUGGGUUGUAAACUGCUUUUAUGCGGGGAUAAAGUGCGCCACGUGUGGUGUUUUGUAGGUACCGCAUGAAUAAGGACCGGCUAAUUCCGUGCCAGCAGCCGC
rnacentral:rRNA from 1 species